rnacentral:rRNA from 1 species
UACGAAGGGUGCAAGCGUUACUCGGAAUUAUUGGGCGUAAAGCGCACGUAGGCGGCUUAGCAAGUUGGAUGUGAAAUCCCUCGGCUCAACCAAGGAAGUGCAUCCAAAACUGCUGAGCUUGAGUACUUAAGAGGAUCGCGGAAUUCCCGGUGUAGAGGUGAAAUGCGUAGAUAUCGUCUGGAACGCCAAAGGUGAAAACAGACUGCUGGGAGUGUGCUGACGCUGAGACACGAAAGCCAGGGGAGCAGACGGG